GAUGAAGAACGUAGCGAAAUGCGAUACGUAUUGUGAAUUGCAGAAUUCAGUGAAUCAUCGAAUCUUUGAACGCACAUUGCACCUCUCGGUAUUCCGGGAGGUAUGCCUGUUCGAGCGUCAUUUGUACCCUCAAGCUCUGCUUGGUGUUGGGUGUUUGUUCCGCCUCUGUGUGUGAACUCGCCUCAAAACAAUUGGCAGCCGGCGUACUUGUUUCGGAGCGCAGCACAUUUUGCGAUCCAGAUCAACGUACAGCGGCAUCCAAGAAGCCUUAUUUAACGCUCUUGACCUCGGAUCAGGUAGGGAUACCCGCUGAACUUAAGCAUAUCAAUAAGCGGAGGA
rnacentral:misc_RNA from 1 species